GGCUGGGCGGAGCCUCCCACUCCUCUGUCUGGGGAAUCACAGGAUCUCACUCCAGCAGCAGGCAGCAAGGAGACCUGAGGUGGCCCUGGGUACCAGGACCCCAGAGUAGAGGUGAGGAUGCACAGGUGGCUAUUUGAUGAAGGUGAGGCCCACACAUCAUCUCCCAAGCACUCGGCCAGUGACUGGUGUCCUCUCAAAUGGCACCCCAGAGGACUGGAGAACACAGAGAGGAACCCGAGUCUUGAGAGCCUGCAGCACGCUGGGCCAGCGCCCCACCACCCAGCCACCUUCCUAGAUCACUUCAGUAGGAUGCAGAGAGAAAGUUCUAAUGCCAACCCAUCCCCUGGGGAGCAGUGGCUGAAACAGUGUGGUGACGGCAUUGUUUCAUGGAGGUGAGCAGAGGGUUAGUUGACCUCUCCUUUAGGAAGGGGUGCUGGUGGGCCUUCUUUGUCUUUAAGAACCUACUCUGUGUCCAUGCACCCAGACAGCAAAGGUGAAUCAA